GAGUUUGAUCCUGGCUCAGGACGAACGCUGGCGGCGUGCUUAACACAUGCAAGUCGAACGAAGCACCUUGGACAGAUUCUUCGGAUGAAGUCUUUGGCGACUGAGUGGCGGACGGGUGAGUAACGCGUGGGUAACCUGCCUCAUACAGGGGGAUAACAGUUAGAAAUGGCUGCUAAUACCGCAUAAGCGCACGGUACUGCAUGGUACAGUGUGAAAACUCCGGUGGUAUGAGAUGGACCCGGUUGGAUUAGCUAGUUGGCAGGUAACGCCUACAGGCGACGAUCCAUAGCCGCUGAGAGGUGACGCACAUUGGGACUGAGACACGGCCCAGACUCCUACGGGAGGCAGCAGUGAGGAAUAUU
rnacentral:rRNA from 1 species